UGUCAGCCGCCGCGGUAAUACGGAGGGUGCAAGCGCUGUCCGGAAUUAUUGGGCGUAAAAGGCUCGCAGGCGGUUCCUUAAGUCUGAUGUGAAAGCCCCGGGCUCAACCGGGGAGGGUCAUUGGAAACUGGGGAACUUGAGUGCUGAAGAGGAGAGUGGAAUUCCACGUGUAGCGGUGAAAUGCGUAGAGAUGUGGAGGAACACCAGUGGCGAAGGCGACUCUCUGGUCUGUAACUGACGCUGAGGAGCGAAAGCGUGGGGAGCGAACAGGAUUAGAUACCCGCGUAGUCC
rnacentral:rRNA from 1 species